rnacentral:rRNA from 1 species
UACGAAGGGGGCUAGCGUUGUUUGGAAUUACUGGGCGUAAAGCGCACGUAGGCGGAAUGUUAAGUUAGGGGUGAAAUCCCGGGGCUCAACCCCGGAACUGCCUUUGAUACUGGCAUUCUCGAGUCCGGAAGAGGUGAGUGGAAUUCCGAGUGUAGAGGUGAAAUUCGUAGAUAUUCGGAGGAACACCAGUGGCGAAGGCGGCUCACUGGUCCGGAACUGACGCUGAGGUGCGAAAGCGUGGGGAGCAAACAGG